GACGAACGCUGGCGGCGUGCUUAACACAUGCAAGUCGAACGGAAAGGCCCUGCUUUUGUGGGGUGCUCGAGUGGCGAACGGGUGAGUAACACGUGAGUAACCUGCCCUUGACUUUGGGAUAACUUCAGGAAACUGGGGCUAAUACCGGAUAGGAGCUCCUGCUGCAUGGUGGGGGUUGGAAAGUUUCGGCGGUGGGGGAUGGACUCGCGGCUUAUGAGCUUGUUGGUGGGGUAGUGGCUUACCAAGGCUUUGACGGGUAGCCGGCCUGAGAGGGUGACCGGCCACAUUGGGACUGAGAUACGGCCCAGACUCCUACGGGAGGCAGCAGUGGGGAAUAUUGCACAAUGGGCGGAAGCCUGAUGCAGCAACGCCGCGUGCGGGAUGACGGCCUUCGGGUUGUAAACCGCUUUCGCCUGUGACGAAGCGUGAGUGACGGUAAUGGGUAAAGAAGCACCGGCUAACUACGUG
rnacentral:rRNA from 1 species